rnacentral:piRNA from 1 species
UUACACUUGUGCUUGUGACAAUGUGUUGC